rnacentral:snoRNA from 1 species
UGUGCUAUGAUGAAUAAUAACAUGCGAGAAUGGGCUUUCUGAUCAAGAGUCACUUCAGUGAAAUGUAUAUGUUACGCUUGGCUUCUGAGCACA